GACGAACGCUGGCGGCGUGCCUAAUACAUGCAAGUAGAACGCUGAAGGAGGAGCUUGCUCUUCUGGAUGAGUUGCGAACGGGUGAGUAACGCGUAGGUAACCUGCCUGGUAGCGGGGGAUAACUAUUGGAAACGAUAGCUAAUACCGCAUAAGAGUAGAUGUUGCAUGACAUUUGCUUAAAAGGUGCAAUUGCAUCACUACCAGAUGGACCUGCGUUGUAUUAGCUAGUUGGUGGGGUAACGGCUCACCAAGGCGACGAUACAUAGCCGACCUGAGAGGGUGAUCGGCCACACUGGGACUGAGACACGGCCCAGACUCCUACGGGAGGCAGCAGUAGGGAAUCUUCGGCAAUAGACGGAAGUCUGACCGAGCAACGCCGCGUGAGGGAAGAAGGUUUUCGGAUCGUAAAGCUCUGUUGUAAGAGAAGAACGAGUGUGAGAGUGGAAAGUUCACACUGUGACGGUAUCUUACCAGAAAGGGACGGCUAACUACGUG
rnacentral:rRNA from 1 species